AUUGAACGCUGGCGGAAUGCUUUACACAUGCAAGUCGAACGGUAGAGGGGGCAACCCCUUGAGAGUGGCGAACGGGUGAGUAAUAUAUCGGAACGUGCCCAGUCGUGGGGAUAACGUAGCGAAAGUUACGCUAAUACCGCAUACGAUCUAAGGAUGAAAGCGGGGGACUCGCAAGAGCCUCGCGCGAUUGGAGCGGCCGAUAUCAGAUUAGGUAGUUGGUGGGGUAAAGGCUCACCAAGCCAACGAUCUGUAGCUGGUCUGAGAGGACGACCAGCCACACUGGAACUGAGACACGGUCCAGACUCCUACGGGAGGCAGCAGUGGGGGAAUUUUGGACAAUGGACGCAAGUCUGAUCCAGCCAUUCCGCGUGCAGGAUGAAGGCCCUCGGGUUUGUAAACUGCUUUUGUACGGAACGAAAGGUUUCUAUUAAUACUAGGAGCUCAUGACAGUACCGUAAGAAUAAGCACCGGCUAACUACGUGCCAGCAGCCGCGGUAAUGUG
rnacentral:rRNA from 1 species